CAAUAUAAAUAAUUUGCUAUCCAUAUAAUCCUGAUAAUAUGGUUCGGGAGUUUCUACAAGAAGACCGAUAAUCUUCUUACUAUGGGUAAAUCCAUUAGGAAC
rnacentral:ncRNA from 2 species